AGAGUUUGAUCCUGGCUCAGGACGAACGCUGGCGGCGUACCUAAUACAUGCAAGUCGAACGAAGCUUUCUUUCACCGAAUGCUUGCAUUCACCGAAAGAAGCUUAGUGGCGAACGGGUGAGUAACACGUAGGCAACCCACCCAAAAGAGGGGGAUAACACUUGGAAACAGGUGCUAAUACCGCAUAACCAUGAACACCGCAUGAUGUUCGUGUAAAAGACGGCUUUUGCUGUCACUUUUGGAUGGGCCUGCGGCGUAUUAACUUGUUGGUGGGGUAACGGCCUACCAAGGUGAUGAUACGUAGCCGAACUGAGAGGUUGAUCGGCCACAUUGGGACUGAGACACGGCCCAAACUCCUACGGGAGGCAGCAGUAGGGAAUCUUCCACAAUGGACGAAAGUCUGAUGGAGCAACGCCGCGUGAAUGAAGAAGGCCUUCGGGUCGUAAAAUUCUGUUGUCAGAGAAGAAUGUGCGUGAGAGUAACUGUUCACGUAUUGACGGUAUCUGACCAGAAAGCCACGGCUAACUACGUGCCAGCAGCCGCGGUAAUACGUAGGUGGCAAGCGUUGUCCGGAUUUAUUGGGCGUAAAGGGAACGCAGGCGGUCUUUUAGGUCUGAUGUGAAAGCCUUCGGCUUAACCGAAGUAGUGCAUUGGAAACUGGAAGACUUGAGUGCAGAAGAGGAGAGUGGAACUCCAUGUGUAGCGGUGAAAUGCGUAGAUAUAUGGAAGAACACCAGUGGCGAAAGCGGCUCUCUGGUCUGUAACUGACGCUGAGGUUCGAAAGCGUGGGUAGCAAACAGGAUUAGAUACCCUGGUAGUCCACGCCGUAAACGAUGAGUGCUAAGUGUUGGAGGGUUUCCGCCCUUCAGUGCUGCAGCUAACGCAUUAAGCACUCCGCCUGGGGAGUACGGUCGCAAGACUGAAACUCAAAGGAAUUGACGGGGGCCCGCACAAGCGGUGGAGCAUGUGGUUUAAUUCGAAGCAACGCGAAGAACCUUACCUGGUCUUGACAUCCCCCUGACUGGUCGGUAAUGCGACCUUUCCUUCGGGACAGGGGAGACAGGUGGUGCAUGGUUGUCGUCAGCUCGUGUCGUGAGAUGUUGGGUUAAGUCCCGCAACGAGCGCAACCCCUAUGUCCAGUAGCCAGCAGGUAGAGCUGGGAACUCUGGAGAGACUGCCGGGGAUAACCCGGAGGAAGGUGGGGAUGACGUCAAAUCAUCAUGCCCCUUAUGACCAGGGCUACACACGUGCUACAAUGGCGUAAACAAAGAGAAGCGAGCCUGCGAGGGUGAGCAAACCUCAAAAAUAACGUCUCAGUUCGGAUUGUAGUCUGCAACUCGACUACAUGAAGCUGGAAUCGCUAGUAAUCGCGAAUCAGAAUGUCGCGGUGAAUACGUUCCCGGGUCUUGUACACACCGCCCGUCACACCAUGGGAGCCAGUAACGCCCGAAGUCAGUGACCCAACGAAAGAGGGAGCUGCCGAAGGCGGGACAGGUAACUGGGGUGAAGUCGUAACAAGGUA
rnacentral:rRNA from 1 species